UACAGAGGUCUCAAGCGUUGUUCGGAUUCAUUGGGCGUAAAGGGUGCGUAGGCGGCGCGGUAAGUCGGGUGUGAAAUCUCGGAGCUUAACUCCGAAACUGCAUUCGAUACUGCCGUGCUUGAGGACUGGAGAGGAGACUGGAAUUUACGGUGUAGCGGUGAAAUGCGGUAGAUAUCGUAAGGAAGACCAGUGGCGAAGGCGGGUCUCUGGACAGUUCCUGACGCUGAGGCACGAAGGUCAGGGAGCAAACGGG
rnacentral:rRNA from 1 species